GGUGAGUAACACGUAUCCAACCUGCCCUUUACUCGGGGAUAGCCUUUCGAAAGAAAGAUUAAUACCCGAUGGUAUAACAUGACCUCCUGGUUUUGUUAUUAAAGAAUUUCGGUAGAGGAUGGGGAUGCGUUCCAUUAGGCAGUUGGCGGGGUAACGGCCCACCAAACCUUCGAUGGAUAGGGGUUCUGAGAGGAAGGUCCCCCACAUUGGAACUGAGACAACGGUCCAAACUCCUACGGGAGGCAGCAGUGAGGAAUAUUGGUCAAUGGGCGAGAGCCUGAACCAGCCAAGUAGCGUGAAGGAUGACCGCCCUAUGGGUUGUAAACUUCUUUUAUAUGGGAAUAAAGUUUGCCACGUGUGGCAUUUUGUAUGUACCAUAUGAAUAAGGAUCGGCUAACUCCGUGCCAGCAGCCGCGGUAAUACGGAGGAUCCGAGCGUUAUCCGGAUUUAUUGGGUUUAAAGGGAGCGUAGGUGGACAUGUAAGUCAGUUGUGAAAGUUUGCGGCUCAACCGUAAAAUUGCAGUUGAUACUGCGUGUCUUGAGUACAGUAGAGGUGGGCGGAAUUCGUGGUGUAGCGGUGAAAUGCUUAGAUAUCACGAAGAA
rnacentral:rRNA from 1 species